UCUCAGUAUAAACUGGACGGUCGGCUUGAUGGCCUCCAGGGCUCUCCCUGCCUGCUUCCUUGAGAGGCUCAUCCCUCGGCUGAGUUGUCCUUCCACUCCCCUGACUGGAUUCCAUUCGGUCUUCAGCCAGCUGGACUGCACAGGGCAGCACUUCAUUCUCCCCUCCACCAGCCUGUCCUUGGCUUCACACAAUACGGUCACAGUCCUGGUCCUGCUGCCCUUGGAGCCUGACGCACAGAAAAGAAGACUGAGGCCACGGCCCCUCUUUUCUGCACUGGUUUCCUCACAUUCUCAAGGAGCUGGGCUGCAGAGUACAGAGGAGGAAGGAUGCAGUGGGCAAAAUCCAGACUUCCGGUUGGAUCAGUGAAGAAGAACUGGAACCAUUUUGCAGGCUGAGAAGCCAAUACCAACACGCAGGACCUGUGAGGAGCCAGCAGCCCAGAGUCCCAUUCCCAGCUGUGGAUGGGAAGACGGCCAGGGGACAGGGGUGAAGCACUCCAUGUGUCCAUCCCCACCUGUAAUCCCACACAGCUACCUCAGCUUGUGCGGGCUAGCUCAGCCCUCACCCUCUCUCCAUCUCCUCCAGAACCAGAAGACACCUGAAGAUCCUCUAGUCCUUCCCUGAGUUCACUAGGAACACCCUUGAGAUAUGAGUGUCUAGGGCUGGCCUGGAAAGCAAGCUGGAAGGACUUAGGCCUGCCCACCUCCGGACUGUGGGGGGCCUCCUGGCUGUGUCUGAAGAGGCCCCAGAGUAUGAAAUUCUGAAGGACAAGACAUGUGGCCUGGGUCCAGCUCCUGGCAGGGGCCCAAGGAAUAUCCCCUGGAUGGGGAAGAGUACAGGCAGGCAGGGGUCAGGGCUACCAGGGACCCUAGGACAGGCAGAGGGAGCCCCACCAGGAACAAAUAUGGCCAGAUGGCAAAGGAAGGGCACCCGCUGCAGCCUCCGCUGGGAAAAUUAAGCCUUCAAUUAGUACAGUCCUGCUCCUGUCGGAUGCUAAGGACACUCAUGGCCCAGCUGCCCUGCCCAAGCCAGGAGUUAAUAACUUACUCUGAGAUGAGCUUGGCAGAGAAGCAACCAGAGCCACCUGCUGCUCUCCACCUGCCCCUGGGCUCCCAGCCUCCCCACCCAGUAGAAGUGGGAGGGCUUGGUCACCCUCUUGCCCCUGGGGCUCCUGUAUCUUUUAUCACUCCCAGAAAGAAAAGAACCAGAAGCCCAACACCCAAGGCUACAGGCCUGAGGCGUUAGAGACUGGUGGAUUGAGGUGCUGGGGACAGAACUUAGAUCUCACGCUCCCUCCGAGUCAGCUGUUAGGUACCCUGGGAAGAGGAAACAAACUUGGAAGGGAGGGACCAUCACCGCAGCUGUCCCCAGUCAAGGCUGUCAGCCACAGCAGAGCCUCUGAGAGGAUGGAUGAGCAUCUCAGCUCAGAGGUCCGGCUCAGAACCACCAUCACUGCUCUAUGGGAGAGAGGACAAGCAACUGCCCCCAAAGCACACAAGUCUUCCAGGCAUGACUGUGAGCAGAACCAGAGUGAGAAUCCUGCAGAGAAUGUUGCUCCCAGGCUAGGCCGUGGUUUAUCACCAGCCUAGCCUGCUCAAGGCUGUUUCCAUUUCCAUGCUGAGUAAGGCAAACUGAGGCCCGGAACUGCUUAGGAGGCGGAUGGAGCCCUCCUGGCAUCCUGCCCAGGGCUGGUGGGCCCCCCCAGGGCCGUUUCCUGGCUCCAGUCCGCACCCAGGUUUUUUCUAAUGAAAGAGUCACCUGUGCUUCUGUCUCCCUUCCCCCUUCAGGGCCCCCUGUCAUUCCUCCAGCACCAAGAAGGCCAGGCCCUGUGCAAAGGCCAAACUGUAAAAGCAAAGGAGAAGCCCAGGAGGCCCAUUGAGGGCAGAUGGGUCUUACCCUGGACCCACUUACAGCUUCCGCUUACCCUACCCCUUUAAUGAUACUGGGUUCAUAAAUGUAGAAAGAGCAGAGGUCAUGAAUGUGUUGUUUAAUUAAUUUUUGCAAAUUAUGCAUCUGUUCAUACCAGGUCCAGAAUAGAAUUUACUUACUCCUGUUAAUAAAUUUUUUGUGCUGGCUUUUGAAA